rnacentral:rRNA from 1 species
AUUGAACGCUGGCGGCGUGCCUAACACAUGCAAGUCGAGCGGUAACAGGUGUAGCAAUACAUGCUGACGAGCGGCGAACGGGUGAGUAAUGCUUCGGAAUCUGCCCAUGUAGUGGGGAAUAACCAGCCGAAAGGUUGGCUAAUACCGCAUACGACCUACGGGUGAAAGCAGGGGAUCGCAAGACCUUGCGCUAUUGGAUGAGCCGAAGUCGGAUUAGCAGUUGGUAGGGUAACGGCCUACCAAGGCGACGAUCCGUAGCUGGUCUGAGAGGACGACCAGCCACACUGGGACUGAGACACGGCCCAGACUCCUACGGGAGGCAGCAGUGGGGAAUAUUGGACAAUGGGGCAACCCUGAUCCAGCGACGCCGCGUGUGUGAAGAAGGCCUGCGGGUUGUAAAG